rnacentral:rRNA from 1 species
GACAGAGGGGGCAAGCGCUGCUCGGAAUUACUGGGCGUAAAGGGCGCGUAGGCGGGAUGGCAAGUCGGUCGUGAAAUCCCUCGGCUCAACCGAGAAACGUCGGCUGAUACUGCCGUUCUUGAGGGAUGCAGAGGAGACUGGAAUUCCCGGUGUAGCGGUGAAAUGUGUAGAGAUCGGGAGGAACACCGGUGGCGAAGGCGGGUCUCUGGGCAUCUCCUGACGCUGAGGCGCGAAAGCGUGGGGAGCAAACGGG